rnacentral:rRNA from 1 species
CAGCGAGAGAAACACUCAGUCAUCUGAAUCUCAUCCCCUUUCUCCUACCUCUCCUCUGUAUCUAUCUCUUCCUCCCCCAAAUUCCUUCCCGUGUCGCCGAUCUCCAGCGAUCGGUCGUCACACCCCCACCCGUCCGCCGCCGCACACCUCGAAGACGACCGGUAAGGGUAUUGCUUGCGGCAGCGCUAGCUCGUCGACGACCGUCACUGGGGGCCAGAGAUGGAAGAUGCAGGGAUGGAGUUCCUCCUCGAUGCCGUUGACAGGUUCCCACUAGUUGAGGAAUUCGCGGACAGCCAUGAGCACCCAAAUCUGGUUCCUCUGGUUUUGUUGGCGAGCGGCGGAGUAGGAGAUGCAGUCCCUGGUGUAUCCAGUGCUGGCUCUGGUUGUGUUCAGCAAAUCGGCGGCCACGGAAAUGGCGAUGCGCGUGCUGGGGUCCAACGACGACCGGAGUCAUCCUCAACGAGGUCUGCGCAGUCGACUCAAGAGUCAAUCCGUAGGCCCCUGGGUGGACGAAAAGGUAGUGUGAGAACAAGGAUUCCUUUACCAUUCUCUGGGUACUCAUUUGAAAUUAUAGAUUGCUCGGAAGUUUCAGACUUGUCUUAGAUUACCUUAGAUGUGAUUCAGUUAACAAACAAAGAUAGAAACGACCACAAUUUCAGUGGUUCAGUGCCAUGACCAUGCUCCCAGGAAAAAUGUUAGAAGGCACAUAUUGCCGAUUGAAUUUCCACAUCCUAUGUACUCUCAGAGUAAUCAGAAACAAAACACAUAGAGAAAACAAAAGAAAAGCAAACUGAAAAGAAAUUCUCGAAUCUCUGAACUGCAGAUUAAGGCUGGGUAGUGCGCACCAGACAGAACACCAUGUCCGUCGAGAAUGAGUGCUAUGGAGCAGUCGGUUCGCAAAUACGUAGAGGAACCAACGGAAAGUGUUGUAAGGCCUGAACUAGGUUUGAGUUUUGAUUCACUGGGUGAGGCAUACAACUUCUGCAACUUGUAUUCAUGGGAAAUUGGCUUUGGUAUUAGAUAUGGGAAGAGUAGAUUGAAUGCAUAGAGGACCAAAUGCAUGUAGGAGAUCGUCUGCGGCUGCUCGGUGAGUUCUUGAUUUCUUAUAGUUUCAUUGUUUCGGCAUUGAUAAAGUGUUCUGACCAUGCGUUUUCUUUCAACAAAUUCAAGGGCAAGCCAGAGACGGAGAAUAGCAGGUCGUGCAGAUGCGAUUGUCAGGCCUUGAUUAGGUUGCUGCAUGCUGCGGACAACAGCUGGUAUAUUACAGAGCAUCGUGAGAGCCAUAACCACUCCAUGUCGUGGACGAUGGGUGAAAAGGUGCACUGGCCAUCACACACGCACAUAGAUGUGUACACUGGAUCUGAUAAAGCAGUUAAGGGAGAAUAAUGCCAAGAUGAUGAGCACACAACACAGUGAGAGUGCAAAUCACAUGCUGAAGACAUACAUGCCGCCGGCGAGUACAAUGCACGUUUUUGUGAGGCAGUACAUGAGGCUGCAGUUUGAACGCAAGCGAGAGGAAAGCUAUGAGGAGAAGAGGACGAUGAUUGGUGGAGCAGUGAGGAGGACUAAUUUGGCAAUAGAGCAUCAUGCAAGUCAGAUUUACACUAGAGCAAUGUUCUAAGAGUUCGGGCGUCUACUAAUUGAGGUAACAACCUACAAUGUCAACGAGAUAGAGAAGAUGAGGAAAUAUCUUACGGUUCACAACAACACAGAAAAAGGAGAAAAAUGGAGCAAGGCCGAGUAUGAAGUGAACAUAAAUGACGACCAAACGGAGUUUACAUGUGAAUGUGGUCAGUUCAAGCACACUGGGAUGUUGUGCAGCCAUGUUCUAAGGGCAAAUUUCCGAAGUAAAUUAUUUCCUGUUAGGAUGAAAAUGUGUUCCAGGACAGGACAACCUUUUUUGUUUUUAAUUUUUUUGUUUUAUGAAAUCUCACAGGUGAUGGAAAUACGUACUUCAUUUUGAGGAGAUCCUAGCUAAGCAUAUCGUAAAGCGGUGGACAAAGGACGCGAGGGACAUACUGCCCCAGGAUCUGGUUCAGUACCAGAAGGAUGGGUGAUGCGAGCGCAGCGGCGUUCAAUCACAUGUUUGCCGGGCUGGACGCUCUGCUGUUGAGUGAUGGUUUGGGUUUCGAGGACCAAAUGGCUGGGUUAACUCCUGUUACAUUGCCUGGCAAUGGAGAGAUUGCGUAUGUGGAUGACGGGUGCCGAUAAAUGCAAUAGUACUGGACACUCUGCUAGUGUGAAUGGUCUGCAUGGUCUAGAAGCACCAGAGAAGCAUAGGGGGGUGAGGAGACCGACAAAUUGCCGAGAAAAGACGCCGUAUGAGGGACUCAGUAAGGGCAUUAGAUUUUGCAGUAUAUGUCGGCGCAAGGGGCACAUAUGAACUGCAAGCCCUGAAACCCUGAAAGAGGUGAUUACCCGAAGAAGCCACGGAAGCCCGGCAGAUGCAAGAAUUGUGGUAUGGAAGGGGACCGUCGGACCACAUGCACAAGGCCUUUGGGUGUUGCCGCAAAAUGAAGUCUGAACUUUAUGUAAUUUUUAUUGAUGUAGUUCCGAGGAUUUUCUAGUGUGUUUAUGUGAGCAUUGCUCCAUGCUUGUUCCUCAACUUCGAGAGGAGUGAUGAGAACUACCUUUAGUGAAAAACUUUUUUCCUGGAACCUGUGUAAUAUGAUGUUUGGUGAGUUAACUACUUGUGCGUGUGGGUUGCUUCGGCAGCUGAUAUUCUCAUACAAGUAUUUAUGUGCUUGCUGAAGACUCGAUUUGAACUUCAGACUCAGGUGGCAUUUUAGCCCGGUGGCAAAAAGAUGGGG